rnacentral:rRNA from 1 species
ACGGCGUGCCUUUUGCAUAAUGACCCGGCGAGUUACUCUGUCUAGCAAGGUUAAGGGUCUCAGGCCCGAAGCCGAAGGGAAACCGAGUGUGAAUAGCGCGACUUAAGUCGAGCGGAGUAGACCCGAAAGCGAGUGAUCUAUCCAUGGGCAGGCUGAAGCGGAUGUAACAGUCCGUGGAGGGCCGAACGGGUAUAGGUUGAAAACUGUUCCGAUGACCUGUGGAUUGGAGUGAAAGGCUAAUCAAACUCGCAGAUAGCUGGUUCUCCCCGAAAUAGCUUUCGGGCUAGCCUCUGGUGAUAGUUAGCGGGGGUAGAGCUACUGAUUGGGAUAGGGGCCCUUCGGGGUACCCUACUCAACCAAACUCCGAAUACCGCUAACCGUAUCCAGGGAGUCAGUCUAUGGGCGAUAAGGUCCGUGGACGAGAGGGAAACAACCCAGACCACCGGCUAAGGUCCCGAAUGGGUGCUAAGUGUAGCAAAGGAAGUGAAGUCUCUAAGACAGCCAGGAUGUUGGCUUAGAAGCAGCCAUCAUUUAAAGAGUGCGUAACAGCUCACUGGUCGAGAGGCUUUGCGCCGAAAAUGAACGGGACUCAAGCACCCAACCGAAGCCGUGGCUUGUACGAGAACGUGUUCUCGUGCAGGGGUAGGGGAGCGUUCCAAGCGAGUGAAGGGCGACGGUAACGACGCCUGGACGCUAUGGAAGUGAUUAUGCCGGAAUAAGUAGCGAUAAAGCAGGUGAGAAUCCUGCUCGCCGUAAACCCAAGGUUUCCUGGGCACGGUAAAUCCGCCCAGGGUUAGUCGGAUCCUAAGGCGAGGCCGAAAGGCGUA